GUGAGGAAUAUUCGUCAAUGGGGGCAACCCUGAACGAGCAACGCCGCGUGCAGGAAGAAGGUUUUCGGAUCGUAAACUGCUUUUCUCUGGGACGAGAACGGACGGUACCAGAGGAAUCAGCCCCGGCUAACUACGUGCCAGCAGCCGCGGUAAUACGUAGGGGGCAAGCGUUGUCCGGAUUUAUUGGGCGUAAAGCGCACGCAGGCGGUCGAGGAAGUUCAGGGUGACAGUUCCCGGCUCAACUGGGGAAGGACCUUGAAAACUCCUGGACUUGAGGGCUUCAGAGGGACACGGAAUUCCGGGUGUAGUGGUGAAAUGCGUAGAUAUCCGGAGGAACACCAAAGGCGAAGGCAGUGUCCUGGGAAGUCUCUGACGCUCAGGUGCGAAAGCUAGGGGAGCGAACGGGAUUAGAUACCCCUGUAGUCC
rnacentral:rRNA from 1 species